rnacentral:rRNA from 1 species
CCUACGGGUGGCAGCAGUGGGGAAUAUUGGGCAAUGGGCGCAAGCCUGACCCAGCAACGCCGCGUGAAGGAAGAAGGCUUUCGGGUUGUAAACUUCUUUUCUCAGGGACGAAGAAAGUGACGGUACCUGAGGAAUAAGCUACGGCUAACUACGUGCCAGCAGCCGCGGUAAUACGUAGGGGGCAAGCGUUAUCCGGAAUUCUUGGGGGUAAAGGGCGUGUAGGUGGGAGCUCAAGUCAGAGGGGAAAACGCAGGGCUCAACCCUGAGCGUGCAUUUGAAACUGUGUGUCUUGAGUGCUGGAGAGGCAAGUGGAAUUCCGUGUGUAGCGGUGAAAUGCGUAGAUAUACGGAGGAACACCAGUGGCGAAGGCGGAUUGCUGGACAGUAACUGACGCUGAGGCGCGAAAGCGUGGGGAGCAAACAGGAUUAGAUACCCCUGUAGUC